ACAAGGUCAGGAGUUUGAAACCACCAGCCCAUUCUUGGGAGAAAGACAGGCUUUUCUGCUCCUUAAAAAGUUACAGUCUCUGCCCCGUGAUGUACAGUCCUUUUCUACAACGUCGGAAAUCAAGCUGUGCCUGGAGCCUGCGUCUGUAUAUUCCUAUAGCUUCUCAGAGUCCUGUGCGCAAUGCCUGAGGAGACAAACCAGGCAGGGAACAGGU
rnacentral:snoRNA from 1 species